ACUUCGAUAUGGCAGUUUAAUGUCAAUUAAAUUUAGAUUGAAGGUACAUUGAACUUUUCAAUUAAUUCAUGGGUGGAUUUCAUCUUGCAGUUAAAAGACACGCAACACACUCCUACAAAGCUUCUUUUUCCUGUAUCUACCGACAUUCUCUUACCCAAAAGGUACUCUCAAUAUAUGGGAGUAGAACCAAUAUGGGUUGUGGUGCAACGGAUGAGGCUGUUUUGUCGUUAACAGAGAUCGAGAAUUCGACUCUGAGCAUGAGAAAAUUCUGUUGGGAGUGCUUUUACCUAAUGGAAUCCUACACUGCGCGAAUCCGUAUUAGUCGUUCCAAUAUGGGUACCAGAUACCGAAUGAGAAAUCAAAAACAAAAUAUAUGGGGAGUAGAGAAGAAGCAAAGAAGGCGUCAUACAAUUCCAGGUUAAAAGUUCUUCACUUUCUUUGAUUUGUGGAAGUCCUAAGUCGAAGAAUGGUGUUACCGAUGGCAGAUCAAUGCAGUUGCUGUUAGUUUAUCUAAAUAUUGAUCAUGCAUAUGUGAUUCUUCAUCUAUUCGAUAGUCACACCCACAUACAUAAGAUAAGUGGAGAAAAUCUUGUUGAUCGAAACAGGAUGAUUGGUAAGUUGAUUGUACUGAUAUAUGGAGGAUAUACAAACUGCAAAUCAAUUAGAAACAACACCAUAAGGCUUGGGAUGGAAGGACAAGUGCACAAGACAAGUUUAGAUGACAAGAGGACUGCGAUGGAGGGGCGUCGCACACCCUAUUCCCUGGGAAUAAAGGGUGUGUAGCGGACCAUAUUCACUUGUAAUAAGUUGUGCAUCACGGACCUUAGUCCCUUGGGAAUGAGGGGUGCAUCUCGGACCCUAUUCCAUGGACGAUCAAAUUCUCCUCCUAUAAACAGGACACUUGAACUUGAUGUUGAACACCUUGGACGACUUUAAAACUUGGAAAGGGGCUGGAAAACACUUAAAUUAGGGUUUUUAUUCUUUUAGUUUAGUUUAUUUAUGGAUUUUAUCAUGUAUUUAUUUAUCUUGAUUACGGUUAUGUCCAUGAGUGGCUAAAAGCCCCCUUUUCGGGGUUAAGGCCAAUAGAACAUGAUUACUAUUGCUUUGAAUUGAUUUGGUUUUGAUUUAUUAUCAUAUUAUCUUGUUUAUUUAUCCUUGUUAUAACUAUUUUAAGGAUUCUCGACCCUUAGAAUACACCAGUUAUCGUUUUGUAAGCCCGAGAGGAGGAACAAGAGAAUAGAACAUAGGGGUAAAUAGAGUAAGGUUCUUAUUAUCUUAUAAAAUAAGGAAUUUGAAUUAGCGUCUAGGAUAGAGAUAUAUCUAUAAGCCUUAUUUGGUUCACUACGGAAUGAAAUAUAAAUGCGUUUAGCUUAGUUCUCACAUCCCUGAUGUAGUUGUAGGGCUAAGUUAAAUAGGUGAUUAGGGGCUCGAGAGACCAUGAUCAUUAUAUCAACCUCGUGAAUCAACAACCAAGAUAAGUAAUCUAACCAAUGAAGUUCAAUAGCUUAGUAUGAUUGUUUGUAGAGAUUUAACCCCGGGUUUCUCCUUAUUGAUUGUCCAAGUAACUUACUUUUACUUUAUUGCAUUGUUGAGCUUAUUUUCAAUUUACAACUCUAAAACUCGUUCGGUUACUUUUACACCACUUUAAUCAAAAUAGUGAACUAAAAUUAGAUAGAUGUUGAAACAAGUCCCUGUGGGAUCGAUACUUGGCUUCUAAUGAGCCACUUUAUUACUUGGUGAGACCACGUACAUUUGCGUGUGCGCUUGGGCGCAGCAGUAUGUUCUAUCUUGUUUAAGUUCAUGUCUAAUAUGUCACAUAGCUUUUAUAUAUUUCAGUUUCUGGCCUCUAUUAAUCUGGGGAUGUACAUGGGCCUUUCUUGAUUUAUUUAUGUGAUCGGGUGCUUCAGAAUAUUUUGAGUUAAGACCAAUGCAAAAGUACUUGAAAUAAACAUCGUUCUUAAAAAAUUUUAAUGGGUGUUGCAAGCUUUGAAAUGACAAGAUCCCUGAGGCACUAAGUUGUAUGGUUAUUGCACGAUGUGUCGUAAUAAAAACUACUAUGCCUCGAUCUGAAAUAAGGUGAGGUCGGCUAUAUUAUCCUCAUAUUGUCAUUUAAGUCCAUGUCAUCUCAUAAUAAUUAAAUUAAAAUAAAAGAAGAUAUUUUGUGAUAACCUUAAUGAAAAAGAGAAAGUGAAGCUGAAUAGGUUGAUGCAUUGAUUCCCUUCUCCUGACGACAAACUUCUUGAUUCUUCAUGGCACCAUUGUCAGAUCAAGUACAUAUUCUGGAAAAUAUUUUCCAAAAUUAUCCAUGUAUUGGAGAUAUUUAAGUGAAAGACACCUUCAGCGCUCAAGAAUGGAGAAAUAUGUAUCUACUUGUUUGAAACAUCAGGUGAUGCAUUAUUUAGCUUUAGAAUAGGGAGAUGUGGGGGUUGGGUAAGAGGGCUAAGGUAAAGGAUUGCAAUAGGGAGUUGAACACGUACCCGACAGAGCUGCAGAAUAAUUCUCUGUAGCUGGAAUAUCCCGAUGUUUGAUAAUCUGUAGAAAUAGUAUUUCUUUAAACGUUUUAAGGACAUUCAUGACUGAUUAAAUUGUAUGCUAAUCCUAU